AACGAACGCUGGCGGCAGGCUUAACACAUGCAAGUCGAACGCCCCGCAAGGGGAGUGGCAGACGGGUGAGUAACGCGUGGGAACGUGCCCUUCGCUUCGGAAUAGUCCCGGGAAACUGGGUUUAAUACCGGAUACGCCGUAUUGGGAAAGAUUUAUCGGCGAAGGAUCGGCCCGCGUUGGAUUAGCUAGUUGGCGGUGUAAUGGACCACCAAGGCGACGAUCCAUAGCUGGUCUGAGAGGAUGAUCAGCCACACUGGGACUGAGACACGGCCCAGACUCCUACGGGAGGCAGCAGUGGGGAAUCUUGGACAAUGGGCGCAAGCCUGAUCCAGCCAUGCCGCGUGAGUGAAGAAGGCCUUAGGGUUGUAAAACUCUUUCGCCGGAGAAGAUAAUGACGGUAUCCGGAGAAGAAGCCCCGGCUAACUUCGUGCCAGCCGCCGCAGUAAGAC
rnacentral:rRNA from 1 species